UACGGAGGAUCCCGAGCGUUAUCCGGAUUUAUUGGGUUUAAAGGGUGCGUAGGCGGCCUGUUAAGUCAGGGGUGAAAGACGGUAGCUCAACUAUCGCAGUGCCCUUGAUACUGAUGGGCUAGGAAUGUACUAGAGGCAGGCGGAAUGUGACAAGUAGCGGUGAAAUGCAUAGAUAUGUCACAGAACACCAAUUGCGAAGGCAGCUUGCUAUGGUAAUAAUUGCGCUGAGGCACGAAAGCGUGGGGAUCAAACAGG
rnacentral:rRNA from 1 species